CCAAAUUUUGGGGUGCUGCCCCCCCCUCACAGCCCCCUCCCGUGGCAGAGACCCACCUCUAUGCCUGUCUGGUGGAUUUCUUCUCCAACUGCCCCAGAUACGUCAGCUGUGACACCGGCUACAAGCACGGGAACCUCUUCAUGUCCUUCCGCAGCAUGUUCCAGGACGUGCGGGAGGCCAUGGACCAAGUGCAUCUCUCGGGCUGCCUGAAGGAGAAGACAUUG